UAACUUCGAGGAGUUCCUCUGAACAAUUCCUCAACAAUUUGAUAAGUUCCUUAAAAAGUUCCUAACUUCCUGUUUCAUUGACCAAUCAGAUUGCUCAAAAAUAGAAUAUAAAAUUUGAUUGGUCAAUGAAACAGGAAGUUAGGAACUUUUUAAGGAACUUGUCAAAUUGUUGAGGAAUUGUUCAGAGGAACUCCUCGAAGUUG
rnacentral:miRNA from 1 species